rnacentral:lncRNA from 1 species
GGAGCAUCCUGCCUGGGAUCAUUUCAUGCCCCUUGCAUUCUCCAUCUCUCAGUGCCUCACCAGAGGAAGACCAUCCAGAUCAAACUUGUAUUUGCCAUUUCCUUCCUCCCUCCCUUCAUCCCUUCCUUCUAUCCUUCCCUCCCUCCUUCCUUCUCUCUCUCUUUCUUUUUCAGGGAUUAAACCCAGGGGAACUUAACCUCUGAGCACAUCCCCAGCCCUUUUUCUUUUUUAUUUUGAGACAAGGUCUCACUGAGUUGCUUAGGGCCUUGGUAAAUUGUUGAGGCUGGCUUUGAACUCCUGAUCCUCCUGCCUCAGCCUCUUGAGCAGCUGGGAUUACAGGUGGGCGCCACUGCACCUGGCUCAGUUUGCCAUUUAAUUAGCAGGACUCUCAAACCCUAUGAGCCCCAGGGUCUCAUCUGGAAAAUGGGAAUAAGAACAGGAUGGUUGUGAAGGGUUGAUGAGGUAAUGCACAUCCCAGUCCUUAGCGCCUGCACAUAGUGCUUACUGAGGCUUGCUUUUGUAGAUGACUUGUGUCUGCUUCUUAGGCAGCUAUGCCUGUUGGCCUCUCUGACCCCUGCCCUCAGCUCUCCUUGGUACCUUUACAUGAUCCACAUGCCCCAACCUGGUCCCAGUGUGUGACCCCCUUGGGGAGGGUUGAGGACAGUUACUUUCCUCCUGGCCUGUGAUGCUCCCUCCAUCUGGAAUGCUCUCCCCAGUGUCACCAGCCCCUCCCCACCACCUCCCACCCAGCCCUUCACACCUUGAGUUGUCAUUAGGAGGGAGGAGGAACCCCUCUAAAGUCAGGCCCAGCUGCAGAGUGUUAAGGGGAUUUCAC